CUGUCCUACGGGAGGCAGCAGUGAGGAAUAUUGGUCAAUGGGCGGGAGCCUGAACCAGCCAAGUCGCGUGAGAGACGACGGUCCUAUGGAUUGUAAACCUCUUUUGUCGGGGAACAAAGGCGCCAACGGGUGGGCGGAUGAGUGUACCCGAAGAAAAAGCAUCGGCUAACUCCGUGCCAGCAGCCGCGGUAAUACGGAGGAUGCGAGCGUUAUCCGGAUGUAUUGGGUUUAAAGGGUGCGAAGGCGGACAGUCAAGUCAGCGGUAAA
rnacentral:rRNA from 1 species